rnacentral:rRNA from 1 species
AACGAACGCUGGCGGCAUGCCUAACACAUGCAAGUCGAACGAGAGCUCCGGGUCAGGUGGCGCAUGGGUGUGUCACGCGUCGGAAGGUGGCGUUAGGCUUGGAAUACUUCCCCGUAGGGGGUGCUAAUACAGGAAAAUGUCCUCGGAUCAAAGAUUCAUCGCAUUUGGAUGGGCCGGCGUUGGUUAAGCUAGUUGGUAGGGGAAAAGCCUACCAAGGCGACGAUCCAUAGCUGGUCUGAGAGACUCCGAAGCCACACUGGGAAGGAGACACGGCCCAGACUACUGCGGGAUGCAGCAGUGGGGAAUAUAGGACAACGGGCGAAGGGCUGAUCCAGCAAGGCCUCGAGAGUCAUUAAGGCCUUAGAGAUGUAAAGCACGUUUACCCGGGAUGAUAAUGACAGUACCGAGAGAAUAAGCUCCGGCUAACUCCGUG